rnacentral:rRNA from 1 species
GACGAACGCUGGCGGCGUGCUUAACACAUGCAAGUCGAACGAAGUGGCGAACGGGUGAGUAACGCGUAAUCAACCUGCCCUUCAGAGGGGGACAACAGUUGGAAACGACUGCUAAUACCGCACACUGAAGGAGGGGAUUGGGUCUGAUUAGCUAGUUGGUGGGGUAACGGCCCACCAAGGCGAUGAUCAGUAGCCGAUCUGAGAUGAUGAACGGCGAGAUUGGGACUGAGACACGGCCCAGACUCCUACGGGAGGCAGCCGUGUGGAAUCUACCGCAAUUGACGAAAGUCUGACGGCGCAACGCCGCGUGAGUGAUGACGGCCUUCGGGUUGUAAAGCUCUGUUAAUCGGGACGCGGUACCGGGAUAGAAAGCCACGGCUAACUACGUGUCAGCAGCCGCGGUAAUUC